rnacentral:rRNA from 1 species
UGCCAGACUCCUACGGGAGGCAGCAGUGGGGGAUAUUGCACAAUGGGGGGAACCCUGAUGCAGCGACGCCGCGUGGGUGAAGGAGUAUUUCGGUAUGUAAAGCCCUAUCGGCAGGGAAGAAGAAAGACGGUACCUGACUAAGAAGCCCCGGCUAACUACGUGCCAGCAGCCGCGGUAAUACGUAGGGGGCGAGCGUUAUCCGGAUUCACUGGGUGUAAAGGGAGCGUAGACGGCCAAGCAAGCCAGGGGUGAAAGCCCGGGGCCCAACCCCGGGACUGCAUUGGAAACUGUCAGGCUAGAGUGUCGGAGAGGCAAGUGGAAUUCCUAGUGUAGCGGUGAAAUGCGUAGAUAUUAGGAGGAACACCAGUGGUGAAGGCGGCUUGCUGGACGAUGACUGACGUUGAGGCUCGAAAGCGUGGGGAGCAAACAGGAUUAGAUACCCUUGUA